rnacentral:tRNA from 1 species
GUGGGAAUAGCUCAGUGGCAGAGCACAUGCUUAGCAUGCACGAGGUCCUGGGUUCAGUUCCCAGUACCUUCA